rfam:Myotis lucifugus cont2.16227, whole genome shotgun sequence.
AGAGGCUCUCUGCGGCCGGGGUGGGACGCUUGUCUCAUCGCCGCGGCGAUGAAGCAAGCUUUCUGCCAGGCUGCUCACACUGCCUGC